UACGGGGGGGGCAAGCGUUGUUCGGAAUUACUGGGCGUAAAGGGCUCGUAGGCGGCCAACUAAGUCCGACGUGAAAUCCCCAGGCUUAACCUGGGAACUGCGUCGGAUACUGGAUGGCUUGAAUUCGGGAGAGGGAUGCAGAAUUCCAGGUGUAGCGGUGAAAUGCGUAGAUAUCUGGAGGAAUACCGGUGGCGAAGGCGGGUCUCUGGGCAGUAACUGACGCUGAGGAGCGAAAGCGUGGGGAGCGAACAGG
rnacentral:rRNA from 1 species